ACCUACCAUCUUAUCAUACUCAUUAAUGUCUUCGCUAUCAAAAUUCAUGAUGACUGCUGCUAGUGCCUCAACCCUGGGUCUCUUUUCAAUGGGAACUAUCACUUCAUCAUCAUUAAUAGUCUAAAUCACGGACACCACUCUCAUAUCCUUCAGUUGUCGCAUAUAUUGACAAACAUUAAAAGUAAAUUGAUCAUCAUUGAGUCUGAACUUCAUCUACCCUAUCUCUAUAUCAACCAAAGUCCUUCCCGUAGCUAGGAAAGACCUUUCCAAAAUAAUAAGCACUCUGAAUUCCACCUUGUAGUCUAAGAUUACAAAGUCAGCUAAAAAUAUGAAGCAUGCAACCUUCACCAAUACAUCACAUAAAAUACCAACUAGUUUCUUGACAGUCCGGUCAGCCAUCAACAGCCUCAUGGAUGUAGGUUUAGGUACCCCCAACCCCAACUACUUGUAUACCACCAAUUGAUGAUAUCUCCCAAAUUAUAUAAUGUGCGAGAGAAGUUAUAGGACCCAAUAGUACAUGGAAUAGUAAAUUCUCCAGGGUUCUUUUUUACUGGCACUAACGAUCGAAUAGACACAGCACUACAAUGGUGCAUAUUAUCUACAAGAUCAAAUCUCACUGCUAGCUUCUUAGUGAUCGAGUCCUUAUAAACUUUGCAUAUCCAGGAAUCCGCUUCAAAGCUUCUACAAAAUGAAUGUUAACGGAUAGUUUUUUCAGCAUCGACAAGAACUUCUGAUGCUUUUCUUCCUUAUUAUCAAGGGAAAAAUAAAGGUAAUUCAUGGAAUGGUCUUCAAUACAAGCUCCACUACCUUUUCCUUACCUUUAUCCUUCUCUAUACAUUUACCACCAUCUAUUAAUUUCUCUAUCUCUGCAUCAGGUGUUUUAUCAAUAUCAACACUAUCAUUCUAUGUCUUAUUAACUGCAGGCAUACGGGGUUCAAUAAUUGUAUUUCCACUUCUAAUAGUGAUAGAAAGACAGUGACUGCCAUUCUUAUGAUUCAGAACUAUAUUGCUUGUAAGGGUGCCUGGUUUCUAUUGAUUUAAAGUUAUCAAUAUUUGGAAAAAAUUUUGCUCCAACUAUUUGAUUGCGGUGGUAUGCGAUUCCAUUUUUUGGGUCAAAACUGAGAUGUCAUGGAGCACAACCGCAUCGCAUAACCAUGAUCUCAAUCAAACCAGCGCGAUCGAGGCUCAAUGAGAUUAUUCCCAGGGUCAGAUUCACAAAAUUACAUAAAUGAAUUCCAAACCAUAUAUAGGCAAAAACCCUUUCUAGAUUGCUUACCUUACAAAAUAUCUUUGAAUUCUAGACUUGAAACCCUAAUUGGGCAAGUAUGUAAUUAACUUUGGAGGCUAAAUUUCUCAGGAAUUUUGUGAAGAAUGAAUACUUUAGAUAAUCUUUAUGGUAUAUCUCUCUUUACUUUCUUCAUGAGUAGCUAAGCAAUUUAGUCUUGGAUUAUGUUAAACUAGAGUGUAAUUUAUGUGUAGGUAUUGUUGUAUUUGUAUGAUAAUUAGUUGUUGAGUAAGUAUUUCACCAUUGUUUGAUCUUAUGAGACAAAAUUUGAUAGGUAAAAGCCCCAAAUCUCCAAAUGGGUUUGAUAGGUGAAAACUCCAAAAUCUAGGAACCCUUUAUCAUCCUCAAAAAAGGGAUGAAGGUGAAUAUGAGGUAACCCAUAACAUUCUUGAAAGAGGUCUAUAUAGGGAUAAGGAAAUGGUGGACAAUUAAGUCUAUGGUUUGCCCCCUUUUCCAUUCUUAGGAGUACAAAUCAUGUCAAGAGCAUCAUCAUAGAAAUAGUAAUACUUGAUUGAGGUUUUGGGUGAUUACGAAUUUCAUACUUGUUAGGUGCUCGAAAGAGCUAACGGAUGAAAUCAUUGUGGUUUUAUUGAAAGAUUGGCUAAAAUGACCUUAGACCUAGCCUAUCCUUUAGUUAACAACUAAAUUUCAUGCUAAACCAUAAUUAACCCACAUGUUCUUACCUUGAGGUAGACAUAAUCCUAAUAUUUGCCCCAACAUUGUUGCUUAAAACGAAAGUGUUAUCUCUUGAUAAUUUGCUAAAGAUCAUACAAAAAGUUUCCAAGAAAAUCCCCCAUUUUAUUUUGGAUGUCAUUUUUGUUAGCAUUCUAGGUAAUCUCAUAGUAGUUUGAGUACCCAUAGUGUUUGAAGUCUAUAAUUUGCUCCUUAAGAUUCGACCCCAAUUCAAAUUGGGUUACUUGACAAUGACCGCCUCACCCCUCAAUUAUGGGACUAAGUUGAGCGUUAUAAAAAUGGCACUGUUGCCAGGGAGUGAAAUAUAGAUUUUGCUUGUGUGGUGUUAUUCUUACUUUGGAUUAUCCAGAGUGUCGUACUUUAUUUUCUUUGUUUUUUUUGGAUCUUUUGCAGGUAAUCUUACCAUAAACAAAACUAUGAGUGAAGGCACCAAUCCUGUGGAGUCAUUUAAUAUACCCACUCAUGUAGAAAGAUACUUAAAUAGUAGGAGUCAUGCGAGUGAAAAUCGUAUCCCACCUCACCAUGGGAAUGGGACAUUUCAUUUGUCUAGUGUCAUGCUUCAUGUGUUUCAAGUAAAGGGUCUAAACAGAGGCCAACCCCAUGAGGAUCCAUAUGUUCACUUAAAGAAUUUUUUGGAAGUUUGUACUCUCUUCAACAUUUCUCAUAUUACUCAACAUUCCUUUCGGCUUCGGCUAUUUCCAUUAUCACUAAUGGGUGAAGCAUUGUUAUGGUUCUGCACACUCCCUACGGCUUCACUCACUUCAUGGAAUGAGCUCACAAAGGAGUUUUUAGAUCAAUUCUCUUCUCCAUCCAAGGUGUGUCAUCCGAGAAAUGAAAUCAUGAUCUUUAGACAAAUGAACGGGGAGCCACUUCAUGAAGUAUGGGAGAGAUUUCAUAGGAAGUUAGCCAAAUUCCCAAACCACGAGAUUCCGAGGAAGGUGCUUCUCUAAAUAUUCUAUCGAGCACUAGAUCCUUUGAACCAAAUGGUGGUAAAUAAUGCGGCUAAAGGUUAUCUCUUAAACUUGUACUUCCAUGUGGCUACAAAAUUGUUAAGAGAGGUAACUAAACACAAUUGGGAAUGUCAUACUCGAGACAUCAACAUUUCAAAUAGCCCUUCAUCUAGGCCCAUGGUUAGUAGAGAACAAAGAAAGUGGGAUGAGGAUCAAGAGAAAACCAUGGCAAAGAUCUUGACCCAACUUGAGCUCCUAAAAAAGUAUGUCAUGGGUGAACCCAUGAAAAAGGCAAACCCCAUGACACAAAGAUCCCAUUACGAAGAUGAAGAAGCUAGGAGAAUGGAGGAAGAAAUUUGGUACCUAGCUAACCACUCGGGGGGUUCUCAUCCGGCCUAUUAUAGGAAAGGUGGGAAUCAAGGUUGGAUAAAUCACAGUGGUGGUCGCUUUUGGAGAGAUCGGGUACAUGAGUAUUGCCAUUUUGUUACUCACCAAGAUUGGGAUUCCAACAAAGAGUCAAUCUCCAUUAACACCGACAGAGGUAGAAUGAAGGAUCUCCUUGCAAGAAUUUUGAACAAAGUUAAAGGAGCGGACAAAAUGGUUCGUAAAUUAAAAGAGGCCUUUAUUUAACUCUCUAAAAUGGUGUUCUCCCAUUAGACAUCUAUCAAAUAAUUGGAGAAUCAAAUGGGACUAAUCUUCGCACAUCUAGAUGCUAAACCUAAGGGAGACUCUACUAGUGUCAUAAUCGCCUCCAAAAUGAUGAUAAAAUGUUGGCGAUAUAUGCAGAGGGUAAAAAAACAAAGAAAGAGAACUUGACAAAGGAUUUGGGAAGAAAAAUGCACAAUGCCCAAUCAAAAGAGAGGUUGUGCCAAAGACUAAUCGACAAAGACAAGAAAGAGGUAAAAGCAUUGUUGGAAGGUUAAUUGAUGAAGAGGAGUUUGAUAAGUGGGGUCCUAUGGACCCUUCUUGAAAAAUUAAUACAUUCCAACAUCAUGCCAUGACGAUAAAUAAGGCGCUGGUGGGAGACAACCCAUAAAUGCCAUGAGGAUGGCUCAUAUCCUUUUUAUCAUAUUUAUAUAGUAUUGAUUUUAGUUUUUUCAUAUGAAUAACUCAUACAUAUGUCAUACUAUGGACUGUUUUGCAUAAGCUUAGAAAGGAAAAAGUGAACAAUUAGAGGUGAAAACCAAUCAAAGGAUUAAUAAGCACCAAGUGAGCAAAAAAGCUGGAUAGGAAAAAAAUAGGGGAGCAGACAUGCCCUCAGUUAUCAUGACCGUGGUCCCUAUGCGCAAUCAUGGUUACCAGCUUAUCUAAGAUUGAGGUCAGUUGGCCGUGAUUGUGGACACAUAAGCUAGUUGACUCAUCAACUACCUCCUUAAUUUCCUCACACUCUCGCAAAAGUUCUUGCAUGUAGUAAUGGUCUAAUCUUAAGAAAAAUGGUGAUGGUGAAAAGUCUGAAAAGGAUAGUGGUCUUUGAUGGAGUUUCAGGAAGCACUCUUAUCUCUUUGUUAGUUUUGUUUAUUCAUGCAGUAGGGACAUUGCUACCUUUUUAGUUGGGGUUCUUACCUUAUUCAUUUCAUUUGGGCUUGUAUUAUUGAUAUUGUUGCAUAUUUUCCUAUUCUUCUAGAUAAUUCUUAUCAUGAUUUUUAUUUGGGUUGUAAUAUUCGGGCACUCAGAUGGUGCUCACAUUUGAAUGGAUUAACUAUUUUGUUUGUAGUUAUCUAUUUUAGUCUAAAUUUCAUUAGUCAAGAUUUGCCUUCCUGGUUGGCUUUCUAACCAUAUAUAAUACCCUGUACUUUUCCUAGCUUGAAAAGUUUCCCAAGGAUGUUAGAAACUUUGUUUGAAAAAUGAAUCCACUUUUGUUGUAGCGACCCGAAAUAACCCCUCCAGACGCUACACAAUGCCUAAGGUCGUAAGUGACCCCAUCACUUGGAAUCACACAUAAACUAGUUGAGGUGGAUGAUUUUGUCAUCUUCCGCACAAUGAGACAAGUGGAAGUAUAGAAUGAUUUUAGUCAACAUGUGAAUCAUUUUUUGAGUGUUAGUAAUUGUUACAUAGUUGCUCCCCAAAGUCUAUUGCAUCCUUUACUAUUCCAUUUUAUAAUGAGGGGAGUCGUUGAAAGCCUAUUUGCCCAUGUGUGAAAAACUUUUGGUGGUCGCAAUCAAGUUUGAGUCUUCAUGAUCAUUGAGUGAUAGAAAGAGGCAUACAUAUGAAAUUAUCUCAUAGUAAGGUAGCGUUGCUUAAGGACAAGCAAGGUCUUAAGUUGGGGGUGUUGAUGAGUGGUGAGUUUACCACUCAUUCACACUCAUUAGUUGUGCACAUUACCUUAUUUUGAAUGAAUAAAUAAGGAAAAAUGUAUGGUUAUAUGCACUAAUAUCCACUCUUUGCAGGCAUAAAGUUAAGGAGACUAAAAGAUCGUACAAAAAGUUCCCAAACAAAUCCCCCCACCCCCACCCAUUUUAUUUUGCAUAUCAUUUUUGUUAGCAUUCAGGGUAAUCUUGUAGUAAUUUGAGCACCCAAAGUAUUUGAAGUCUAUAAUUUUCUCCUUGAGAUUCGACCCUAAUUCAAAUUGGGUUACUUGACAACGACCGCCUCACUCCUCAAUUAUAGGAGUGAGCUGAUCAUUAUCAGUUAUUCCAAACCCUUUCAAGUUGACCUUCUUGUACGUGUUCUGUCAUCCUACGAUCCGACUAUAGAAUUCUUUUUGGUUCAGGAUUAAUGGGGAGUAAGGGAUUUCCUUGACUACUCGUGCUAGGAAUACACUGGUGUAUGCUGAAAAAUAGAAAAAUAAAACUCCAAAACUUCAAAAUCAUUAAUCAUCAAUUUUGCAACUGCAUUCCCCUAUAACGGUGCCAAAAUUUGAUGUCACCGAAAACUACACCUCCACAAAGUAUAAUGUGGUUGAAGUCAAAUAUCGUAACCCAACUAGGUUAGAUCGAACCCAUAGGGAAUAGGCCAAAAAUAUUUCUCAAACUUGCUAAAAUAGUCGGGUAGUGCAGGAAAGUAAAUGGGGGGAUUUGUAGUAAUCAGUAAAAAGUAACUAGCUUUGAAUAUCUUUGGUUGUAAACAAUCUGAAAUGAACACUAGGACUGUGUUAUUCCUGGCUUCUAACUAUGUAGGUUUCUCAUUCUCAAUCCAACUACCUCAUCACUAUAAAUGCAGAAUAAGAUAAGAUAGGUAUCACCAACUGUCUUGUGGAUUCAUAGGUAAAUUUCACCUUCACUUUUUGAGUCCAGGGUGCCUCCUUACUAACCCUUGCCUUUGAUCUCAAUUAACUUCACCUUGUGGGUCUUAAUUUAUUAGACAAGGGUUGAUAGCCUCAAAUCACUGUUGAAAUCUUUUUUCCCAAUCUUGACUUCCCUUGUAAGGAUGAUCGCGAAUAUAGGUAAGUCCGUAGCUUUUAAAGUAACUAAGGAAGCAAAUAAUACAAAGAAGAUCAAUAUACAUGGCAACAAUGAUCUAAAAAAAUCUCAUAUUUCCCCUACUAUGUUAAUCCGCCAGGGUUCCCACAACCCUAAAUAAGGAAAUUAGUAGUUCAUGGUUGUGCAAUACUCCAUGGGAUUCGAUAAAGAAAGCAUAGAAUUAAUUGCACAAUAAUGAAGGAAUAAAAUCCAAAGUCUCGAGUUAAUUACGUAACCAAAAACCAAGAACAAGAGUAUAAAGUAGGUAAAGAUAUGCCAAAGUACAUAAAUUAUUACAUAAGGACCCCAAGGGUAUUUAUAGGUCUAAAAAUAACAAGGGAAACCUAACCAAAAAAAAUAGGAAAACUAAGUCGGCAAUGGCCACGCCUCUAGUAACGGGUUAUCUGGACUAAUAAUGGCUCGUUAGUCACUUUUAUUGCUCUCUUCUCUCUUCAGUGAUCACAACUCAUUAUUUCUAAAAAUGAGUCAUUGGCUGCAAGUCUUUGUCACUCUAGUAAAUUUUCACUUUCAGUAGUUUUGGAUCUGUUGUUAGAAUGAAUCCUUACCAUGACUCGUUGUCAGUCGUAACGACUCGUGGUCUUUACCAGUUUCCACUGGAACCUCAACUUGUCAACUUUUAGGACUUUUCCUCUUAUACUCAGAAAAAUUUACAUUAUGACCCACUGUCACUCAUAACGAGUCAUAGCCAGUCUUCCACUUUACUCUUGAAAUCAGCCUGACUCACAGCUAACACAACAACUUGGGCCACGAAUCAUUAGGUGACUAAAUGACUUGUGGUUCAGUCAACACUUAGAUUUUUUCUAGAGCUUUUUCAUCCGUUUUGAUCCAUGCUACUUACCAUCUAAUUAACCUACAACACACACAAAACACACAUCUUAUCAAAUAAAAUAACCCAAGUAAGUGCAUAUUUUUAACCUUUUAAGCAUUGAAAGUGUCAUAUAACCAUGGCACAUCAAUCAACAACCUGAGGGAAGGAAUACCCAGCUGAAAUCAAAUACUCUGAGGCCAAGUAGAGAGGAAAGACUAACCCUUUAAUAAAUCUAUGCACCAUCUCAUGCUCUAAGGAUAUAGCAUAUGGGUAUGUCUGGCUUACUCCAAAAACUCAAUCUCAUCUUUGAUAUCGACAAGGAACCCUACUAAACACCAAAAAAACUAACUCUGGACUGAGAACUGCUCGAUGAACUGGACCUCACUCAAGCUGAGAGGUAUUCGUAAAAAAAAUUAAAAACCCCAAUGCUGAAUCUUAAAAGGCAGAAGCAUCACAAACUCUAUCAAAGCCUGGGAUGGCCCCAAAUCCUUCGAAUAACAUUGAAGAUCUUUGAUAUUAAUCUCUAACUCCCUAGUCUAUUAUUGCACUAAAACUCUGGAAAAGUGUGUGAUAGCCUCGUCCGCAUCUAUUGAUAACUUGUAUCAUCCAUCUAGAACACAAUAGAGUCAAAGAAUGUACUAGAGGCUCAUAAAAAUAUGGACACAUGACAAAGAGUCAAGAAUAAAAUUUCCUAAGAAUGCCACAUAGCCUCCCAAAGAUAGGAUACAUAUGUCUGUACAUCAAUCUGCAAGAAUCUAUCAGACACUUAGCUCUUGUACUAACACAUUGAUAAAACUAGGCUCUGAUACCAAUUAGUCACGGCCUAAUUUUUUAGGUCAUGACGGUACCUACCACAGUAGGUAAGUCGACUCAUAGUCUGUAACUACUAGUAACGGACUAUCUAAGGAAAUCAAAGGAAAUUUGCAGAAUAAAUAUGAUAUGAGGGCUUACAUGUAUAUAGAAGUCCCAAAACUUGGUGAAGUUAGUAUGAGAGUUUCUUAUAUAAUAAGAGUUAAGGUUCAGUACUAAAUAAAUAUACAAAUACAAUCCAUCUUUAAAUACAAUACAAUACAACAAUCAGUCUAAACCAUAAGAAGGAGAAUAGUAGAUCCCCAAACGCUAAGAGCUCACCCCAAAUAUCUAAUUCAUAGCUGCUCUGCACAAUGCAUACUAUAGCGAGAACUCAUACUAUGAUCUGUAGGCUGAAAAGUGUAGUGUGAGUACAAAACAUAUGGUACUUAAAAGGCAAUUGACGACUGAGCUCCAAAGAUAAUGCCAAUAUAGAUAACAUGCAAAGACGGAAUAUAAACUACAGGCAACUAUCUAGUAAGAAAACACAAUAAAACAAGAGAGGCAAUAAGGAUGAAAUAUCCUAUUCUGGUCGUACUUAGGCACUAAAGCACUAUACCGUAUAUCACUGUCCAAUACACAAAUAAAGAGUAGAAAAAGGAUAUAUAAUAGUAUCCAAAGCCAAGAAUACAUAUAUUACAUGAACAUGCAAGGAAGAGAGAGAUAUACGGUAAUAUCGUAUCCAUAUCUACAUCUAUAUCCUACUUGAUUAGGAUGCCUGAGAUACUAGGUUGUUUAGAGUAGUUAUAUAUAUAUAUAUAACUAUGACACGACACGACCCGAGGCCUUAUCGUAAUAGGCAUCCCAAGUCUGACCUGGACUGAGGGCCGCCCCUAUUACCCAACCUAGUCACUUGCCCUGAGUUGGCUGAAUUUCGAGCAUAUAACAAGAUAGUGAAUUUAUUUAGUUCUAACUCUAAGAUAGGUCCAUAACCGAGAUCGACCCAACCGAGUCCAACCGCUCGAACCCAAUCCAAAUCAUACCAAACCAUACAUCGAAACCAAACCAAAUAGUAACCAAACCAAGUUCCAUAACACAACAUAAAAGGAUGAAACAGUGAGAAAUUUAGUCCAAUAGUAUUAGCCUCAAUACCAAUGCCAAUACUAAAGUUGACACCAAUACCAAUCUCGCCCAUGCCAACCCAUAGUAGUUCCAUAAAAACAUCUAACCAAAGAAUACCAAAAAUCCAGUUGGGACAUGCCCCCAACCAUAGCCAAAACCAAUAUCCAUAAAUAAACUGAAGUGUAUAAUAACAUCCAUGAAAUGGAGCCUUCUAAAAAGAUGGAAGCUACCACUUCAAUCCAAAAGCUAACCUCGAAUGUCCGAAUGCUAAGCAGAAGGAGUAUAAUGGUCGGAUACUGCAUCGCAUGGGGAUACUGUGCCCGAAGAUGGAUUAGCAGGUGAACGCUAGCAUGAACUCAUGAUAAGGAUAAAAUAAUGCCAUUUUAUAAAACCAAGUAAACCAUCCAUAUGCAAGCAAACCAUACAUAUAUAUAUAUAACCAUAUCGAGAAGGGAAACCAGUUUAGCAUUCAUUUGAAACCAUUAACCUGGGUAUGUGAUGUUUAAUAGUCCUAAAACCACCCACAAUCUAUGUGGGUCCAAAACAUCCUGAACGGGCCCAAAUACAUGUAGUCGCACUGACUAGAGAUACCAUAAGAAUCGGGGAUUCCCACAUACCCUUCACUCUCCAUGAUACAUAUGUAUAGUGUAUUUAGAGAAUUAUUGUGUACCAUAUAAGGUCUCCAUAACCUACCCCUCAUGUCAGCAAACAUAAGUUUCCAGUGUUCCUCCAUUGAACUCCCACCUUUACGGUUAGCUUUCACACCCUAAUUUUAUUAACUAAUUAAAACCAUUUCCAACCAAGCCAUUUUACCAUUGUUAUUAACCAAGACUAUUAGAUAGUGGUAUCACCCUACGGACUAUAACUAGCAAGUAUUUUCCUUUGCCGAACCUUUUAGAGAUCAAGGGAUUCCCAUGUACCCAUAGAUCAUAUUAUCCAAUUAGCCUGGGGAAUUCCCAUGUACCCCUCAAGUAUUCAUUGCCAUAUUAACUUGGGGAAUUCCCUUUUACUCCACAAGUAUGUUUAUUAAGCCAAACCAUUUAAACUAUUAGGGUUCCAUUACUAAGUUUAAACCAUGCAUAAGUUCCAUAAAAAGCUCAACAAUGUAGUGAAAACAUUCUAAUAUGCAUUUUAUCAAACACAUUGGCGGCAUAAUAUUACCAAAACAAAAAUCCAUUACCAAAUAACCAUUCCCAUGCAACCAAUUAUCCAAUACCACCAUUAAAGUAUAUAAAAGCAUAAUUAAAACAUGGGAAAACCAUAACCAAACAUUUAUAACCAAAACCCCCAAUUUAUAUUUAAAAUCCAAUCAUGAAAACAUUGUAUAAAACCAUGCCUUUAGUUGAAACUAAUAAUAAGGGAAGAGAACAUGCCUUAAUUGACAAAGUUGGUGGAGUGAAAUCACCAUCAAAAGCCCCAAAUUAAUCUUUAAGAUAAAACCCUAGCUUUCUUUGCCCAAGAAAUUUAAAGAGGAUUAGAGAGUGUUUUCUAAGUGUUAAUAAAUAGAAUAAUAGGGCAAAAAAACUUCAAACUGAGUUAAAACUCGUGGUGCCUUAUUAGGUUAAGUGGGGAAAUAUUCAGAUUGCCCUCACUUAAACUUCCAGAAAUCCCAUUAGGUGGGUAUGACUAUCCAUAACAGUUGUACCCUCUACGACUGAUACCUACCACUCAUACCCAAGGCUAUCUCUAUUAGACCCAACACUAUCCAAGGUUUGACUCAGCCCAAACCCUAUCAUAUUCAAGUACAUGACUAGUACCCAUGAUUCGUACCCCUGGCAAAAUAGAAUCCCAAGGGGGUUGAACAUUGCCCACCAUACGAGUCCAUGGUAUGACUUGUACCCUGGCUUACGGCUCAUAGUGAGCCACUUGAACUAAGAUCCAACUUAAGUUACCGAGUCUAACACUAAGUAAAGUAACCAAACAACCCAUACCCACCAUACGACUCGUACCCCCAAGUCGUACCCAUUCCAGAAACCAAAUCCAACCCACCAACCAACACUGGUCAGUAUACGACUAACCCAUACCACUAGUCGUUACCUCUAGUCAUAUCCUAUCCAAAGACCAAAAAUUCAAGAAAUUAUCCAACGACCAAAAACCCAGGGUGUUUCAUGUAUGUGUAUAUAAAUGUAUGUAUAUAUGUACGUAUAUAUAUAUAUAUAUAUAUGUAUAUAUAUAACUACUCUAGGUAAUGACUAUGGUAAACAACCUAGUAUCUCAGGCAUCCUAAUCAAGUAGAAAAUUGGCAUUGGAUAUCAAGGUCCUAACUAUAAGAUAAUUAUCUGUAAUAUAAUUUAUCUUAAAAGAGAGUAUUAGAAUCAUACUUUCAACCUCAGUUUCACUCCAUAAUCAGUCUGCCAUGAAAUAACUAUAAUAACAAUAAUAAAUUAACUAGCUAAUCUGGAAAAACAAUACCUAAUUGAAACCCUAUAAAUCCGAAAGGUUCAAUCAACACUCAACAAAUAGAAAACAACAAUCAUAGCCUAUACCUAUGAACCCACCCCCCAUAAGGCUGAUAGAUAUAUAAGUACCAAAGAACAUACUGGUGAUAGGCAAUGCGCAUGCAUGAAUGAAUGCAAAGUAAAUCCAUAAUACCAUAACCGAUUCAAGUUCCAUAAUGUACUCAGUAUAUACACCUCAUCCAACUCAAUGGCUUGAAAAGGAAGGACCUACGACGACCUCUCUUCUCCGAUAUGAGGCUCAUGAAUGAAAAAGGACCUAAGGGAUUUGGGAAUAUAUGUAUACACUGACCUAGUCCAAUUCAGAGAGAUGUAUAUAUAAUAAAUACACAUACUUAAACCAUAGAUAAAAGAGUGUAAGUCUGUAAAUCCAUUAACUAGGACCAAAUUUGUAACUAAAUCAUCAUAAUAGAGCAAAAAGGGUCAGAAUCUCUCACAAUCAAAGUAAAUUAUAGUAAUAAAAGAGUAGGUAAACUAUGGACCAGAAUCAAUCUCGCUCUAAUUUCCAAAACAUCAAUUUUAGUGCUAAAAUGUCAUAAAUCAUCCAUUAAGGUGGUACGAUUCCCUUUAUAAAAGAGUCCAUUUAAAAGUGAAAAUUGAGGAUAAAUUCCUUUUUUAGAAAAUAAUAGUAAAAUCAUGAUUUUAUCGGAAUCAUACCACUAAGUGAGUAUGCCAUCAUCAAUAUCAAAAUAAUACAAUCAUAAAUGGACAACAUCUAUAGACUAAAGCCACGUCCUUUAUAAGUAUAAAAUACUUUCAUAGAUUCCAACUAGUAUUGUAACCACGACCUUGGGCCAAAUAGUAUAUAACCAUCAUAAUAUCAAUACUAUAAAUUGGAAAACUAUGAUCUAAUCCUCUAAGUCAAGUGAUAAACCUUUUACUAAAGGGGUCCAUAGCAUCACUAUGAUAAAUAUGCUAGUAAUGUAGGGUGAUGGGAUCCUAUAGUUGUAACGAGUGUUUCAUAUUAAGGGUCGAUUCACCCUUCUAUCCCCGAACUCUUAAAUUAGGCUAAGUCAUGGUGUUCUACCCAUAUUCAUAUUCUAAUAUCCUUAUGUAACAUGAAAUAUACACCAUACACUAUCUCAUGAAGAAGAAUAGAUCGAAGUCUGUCUUGAUGCUGAAUCGUCAAUCCUUCAGUUAUCCAACAAAACAUCUGUCUUUGAUCUAUGAUCCAAAAAUGCUGCUACACUAUAAAAAUAGUAAUCAAUGUUAUUAGGAGUAAAAAAAAUAAAGGGUCGGGUCAGAAUUUCAAUCAAGAAUACCCCCGCGAGGCCUGAAAAUGGAAUCCAAAAUUGAAUCCAUCACAAGGCUCCUCGAAGGACAAGGAAUGUGUGAUAAAAAGUUGAGCACAAAUAGUGCAUAAAUUGUGGCCCAAAUCAGCCCCUAAGGUCUAAGGGUGUAAAGGCCUAACUUCUAAGAAUUUGAAAUAAAAUGGGAUGAAAAUUGACGAGAUAGCUAAUGGGAAAUAUUCAAAGAGUGUUAGUCUAUCUUACCUUAGCUUCAAUGAAUGAUUUACUCUUUCCUUCUCUUCAAGCUCUCAAAUAAUGGAAAAUGAUAGAGAAAAUGAAUGGGUAUUUUGGGUGAAGAAGGGGAUUUAAUAAUUCCAAAGUGUCACUUAAGCGACUCAAUGAUCACUUAAGCAAAUAUCACUUAAGCAAUCAAGUGAUCGCUUAAGUGAUCCACCAUAAAUAUCUAACCUUCGCUUAUGCAGUGAGUACCACUUAAGUGACCCCCGCUUAAGUGGCAAUGCCAUUGCUUAAGCAGCAAGGCGGGUACAAGGGCAAUUACUAAAGAGAUCCCCUAUUCGAUUAUGCGACCACCACUUAAGAAACGAAAGGUCCAUUUAAGAAGUUGCACCAGAUGGUGUUAUGAACCGGAUUUGCUAAGUCCAAAAUGGACUCCGACUAGAUGCUCGAAAUUCAUUAAGAACCCCAUGCGCACAAAAGAACUAUACUACUAUAUCAAAUUCGACAUUUAAGACAAAUAAAAUUGUCACGCCUUAAAUCCUAUUAGAGCGGACAGGCACCCAUAGCCGUGAAGGCCUAAGAGAACCAAUCCAUAAUCUUGUACUUCUCAUGCAUGUAAUAUGACAACCAAAGGUUAUAACAAAUAUGAUAUAAUGCAUCGAUGAGAAUAACUACGUAUGCAAGCGCAAAAUUAUAUAUACAAGGCAUGAUCGUUGGGGCCACACAUAUAAAAGACAAGACACUACCAUGUUUAACAUUACAUUAGUCUAUAAAGCCACUAAAAGAUACAUAGACAUAGCUAGGGUCGGGACAAACCCCUGCCCUACUCUUGACUAUUGCACAAUACCAAAAUAUAUGGAAUUGACUCGGAAAGCCCCGAAUCAACCUGGAGCUCACCAAUGGUCACUGAAUAGCCUGUGCUCCUACUAGCAAGGUGUAUUAGCUGAAGCACCUAUUCCUGCAGCAUGAAAUAUAGGUCCCCCGUAAGGGACGUCAGUACAAAAAUAUGUACUGAAUAUGUAAGGUUGAAGGUAACAACACAUAAUACAAAAGCUCAACAAAAAUCAGAUGCAAGUGUAUAAGUAGUACUAGUAGACCACCUUUAUAAAUACUUAUGGGACUAUGUACAUUACAUUGUAUUCCUUACUUUUACCUUUCUUACAUCAAAAUAUUCGUAAGCCAUAUAAUAUAAAUGACCAGCUGAUCAUUGGUAAAUAGAUAAUUGGAAUCGGCCUAUGCUAGGCUUACACCUCUGAGCUGCCACCCACAUAUGAAAAUUGGGAUCGGCUCAUGCUAGUCUUUUGCCCCUGAGCUGCCACCCACAUAUAUAGGUAUCGAGAUCAUCCCAUGCUAAGCUUAUGCCCCUGAGCUGCCACUCGUUUUACAGAUUGUGUUACUUAGUUUAUUUAACCUUUGAGAUUGUUACUUUGGUGGUCAUAACAUUAUGGUACCUUGAAAUAAUAAUCUACCAAUAAGAGACAUAUAAAUUGGAACUUAAUGCAACAAUAAUGAGGUAGGGAGAUGUUGGCACACAAAUGAAGUGUUUAGGAGAUGAAAAUAACACAUGGGUCUUAUUUGAGUAAACGGAGAACUCCUAAAAUUUUCUAGUGAAAAUAGACAUGCAAGUUUAAUAAUAAGCAUGAAUUGAGGUGUUUUGACAUGUCAUAGAGUGGGAACAACGCCAUUGGCUACAUGGGAUAUAAUACGUUGCUAUUAUGUAUCACUUGUUAUAGGAUAACCUGGGAAGCUUACUUGAUGGAACAAAUAUCUGAUUUUAUGCCAAAGAGUGCAAAAUAGAGUAUGCCUUACAUACCUGGUUAUAUAACUCCAAAACUAACCCAACUUGACUUCUCGACUUUUAGAUUACUUAUCUACAAUAGAAUAUAUGUUAAACUAGUAUUAGCAACCAACCAACACAUUUGGGCUACUUAACUUCACCAAAAUAGUUAACGGGCAUUAAGCCCUUAAUCUAUUAAUCAAGGGUAUUAUUUUUACCCUUUUCUCCUCUAAUUACACCCAUAUACCAUACAUAUUUUUAUAAGAUUCACCAAAACUACCUCAACUUCAUUACAUCCUCUAAAUAAUACACAAAAUAGAUCGGGCAGUAAACAUAUGCAUAAUUAGUUCGGUGGAGUAUCGCCAUACCUUUUUCCUAUAUUUCAAUUCAAACUAGUCACACCUUUCUCCAAUAUCAACUUGGCAGCCCAGAACAUAUACAUACAAAACAGUCCAAAAAAUAGCCCCAAAUCCUUUUUAUUGUAGCAAUUAAUUAUUGAACUCAUCAUCUCUUGAGUUCUCAAUAACAACACAUCCAUAAUUCUCUCUUAAUUUCAUAUAUAAGAAGAAAAAAAUGGAUCAGUCACCUUACCUCAAUUCUACAAAUUAUUCUUUUAAUUUGAACUCCUCAAGAACUUCAACUUUCACUUUCCUUCACACUUUAAAUCAAAGAAGAAAAGAGAUCUCUUAAUAAUAAAGAAAAAAGUGAGCAAGUAGCUUGUUCUGUACUCUGCCAUGAAUUAAUAAUUAAGCACUUAUAGCAUGUUUUCCUAAUCUUCUGUGAGAUAAUUAAGCUAAACCAUAAGUCUUUUCGCUUACCUUGGCUUGCAAAGUUUGGAGUUUCUCUAAGAACCCUAAAAGGAAAUAUAGGGCUGCUCUUAGUUGUUUUAAAGAAAGUAGAGAGAAUUUUGAGAAGUAUAACCUUUAUUUGUGACUUAAGAAUAAGGGAAAAUGACCAGAAACUUGUUCUAUAAAGGCUCUAUUUUGGCCACCCACUUAGCUGCAUUUUGGACCUCAAAUUUGGUCAAAUUUUUCCAAGUAGGUGAUGCACCUACUUACUUAAUUCUUAGUUGGGCUCAAUUAAAUUGAGCCUUGGCAUAUUUGAGCAUUGGGCCGUUUCUUUUAUUUAAUUUGGGCCCAAAUAAGUAUACUACUAAAGGCCCAAAUUUUAUCCAUGGACUUGGUCUAUUAACUUGGCUCAUAUAACCAAAGUAAGUGACUCACCUGCUAGCUUAAUUAAGUCAAGCAAGCACCUCAAUAAAUUACUCCAUUUUCAGUUCUUAAUCCAUUUAAUCUAAUUUAAAAUUUGUAUACACUUGGUCACUUUAAACUUUAGAUUCAAAGACUAGCUUAUGAUCCCAAGUUUAAAUAGUUGUGUCGACGUUAACUUGGUCGUAUCACAUUAAAACUUACUAAUGAAGAUUCUUCUGCAUUAUGCAUAAUAAGCCCUUCAUCUGAAGUUUCAAGAAGUUGAACCCCCAAAUUGGCUAGUUGGUACAGAUCUUUAGUUAUCAGUUGGUACAGAUUUUUAGUCAUCAUUUUUCUUUCUAUAGACGGUGUCAUAGUCUUACGACUUAACGCAUCUACUGCCAUAUUUGCUUUCCUCGGAUGAUACAAAAUAUCAACGUCAUAAUCUUUUAAUAGUUCAAGCCACCUUCACUACCUCGAGUUUAGAUCUUUUUGGCUAAAGAUAUAUUGCAAACUCUUGUGGUCAUUAUAUAUGUCAACAUGAAUCCCAUACAAGUAGUGACGCCAUAUCUUUAAGGCAAAUACAACCGCUACUAGCUCCAGAUCAUGCAUUGGAUAAUUUUUCUCACGUGGCCGCAAUUGUCUUGAGGCAUAUGUUAUCACUUUACAAUGCUGCAUCCACACACAUCCUAAAUCAAUUCUUGAAGCAUCACAAUACAUUGUAUACCCUUCUGUGCUUUCUGGCAGUACCAAUGCAGGUGUAGAAGUCAACUUAUUCUUUAGAUCUUGGAAACUACUUUCACAUGCAUCAUUCAAUUGAAACUUGGACGCUUUGUGUGUUAUCUUUGUUAAAGGUACAAAAAUUGAAGAAAACCUUCAACAAACCUCUUAUAAUAACCUACCAACCCAAGGAAACUACGAACCUCCAUAGGCAUUAUAGGUCUUGGCCAGCUCUUCACAACUUCUAUCUUUUGAGUAUCAACCUUUAUUCCUUCAUCAGAUACAAUAUGACCCAAGAAUGCCAUAGAUUUUAACCAAAAAUCAUAUUUAGAGAACUUUGCAUAUAGCUUAUGAUCACGAAGAAUCUGUAACACAUGUCGUAAGUGACUGGCAUGUUCCUCAUUUAAAUAAACCAGAAUAUCAUCUAUCAAAACUAUCACAAAUACAUCCAAGAAUGGCUUGAACACCCUAUUCAUCAAAUCUAUAAAAGUUGCAGGUGCACAUUAGUUAGCCCAAAGGACAUGACUAAAAACUUGUAAUAACCGUACCGUGUUUGAAAAGCUGUCUUAGGUAUGUUCUUCUCUUUGACCCUCAUUUGGUGGUAACCAGACCUCAAAUCAAUCUUUGAAAAACACUUGGCACCUUGCAACUAAUCAAAUAAGUCACCAAUUCUCAAAAGGGGAUAUUUGUUCUUAAUAGUCACCUUAUUCAGUUGUCGAUAGUCAAUACACAUUCUAAAUGAGCCAUCUUUAUUACGCACAAAUAACACUGGUGUGCCCCAAGGGGACAUAAUAGGCCUUAUGAAUCCUUUUUCUAGAAAGUCUUUCAAUUGAUCUUUCAACUCUCAUAAUUCUGUCGGGGCCAUUCUAUACAGAGAAAUUGAGAUUGGUUGAGUACCUGGAAUCAUAUCAAUACCAAACUCCACUUCUCAUUCUGGUGGCAAACCUGGAAGAUCUUCAGAAAAUACCUCAGAAAAUUCAUUUACCACUGGAAUAGUUUAAAGAGUUAGUAGCUCCGCAUCUGUAUCCUUCACUCUAGCUAGAUAAUAGAUGUAACCAUUGGAAAUCAUCCUUUUCGCCUUAAAAUAAGAAAUAAAUUUACCUCUUGGCGCACUAAUGUUACCCCUCCAUUCAAGGGUUGCCUCUCUUGGAAAAUGAAAAUACACCCUUUUAGUUCGGCAAUCAGUAGUAGCAUAAUAAGAAGCCAACCAAUCCACACCCAUUAUAGCAUCAAAAUCUACCAUUUCUAACUCAACCAGGUCAGCCAUUGUAUCACAACCACAAAUAGUUAUUAUACAAUUUUGAUACUCUCUUGGCUAUAAUAGAUUCACCAACUAGCGUAGACACUUCAAAUGGCUUAACUAGAAAUUCUGGUGUUCUUUUGAACUUACCAGCAACCAAUGGAGUGACAUAUGAUAAUGUAGAACCCGGAUCAAUUAAUGCAUAUACAUUAUGUGAAAAUAUGGAUAAUGUACCUAUAACUACAUCUAGAGAAGCCUCUAAAUUUUGUUGAUCCGCUAAAGCAUAUGUACGAUUCUGAACUCCACUAGAGCUAGCUGCUUCUUUAGCAACUCUACCAUGACCUAUAGGCUGUACACCCCUACUAAAAAUGGCACCAAUGAUGAUGAUACAGUGUCUAAUCCAGUAGGUCAUGUUAUACCACUCAUGCCUCUUUGGGAGUAUUCUCUCAUCAUAUGCCCCGGCGUACCACACCGAAAGCAAAUAUUUUUCCCAAACCGCAUGCACCCAAAUAAAGCUUUCCACAUUUUUACAUGGUUGCUGAGGAGUUCUUAAUUGGCUCAUACUCCCUUGCUCUUGAUACCCCGCUACUCGUGAACUCUGACUCCCACUUCUCUGCCCAAAAUAAUUGCCUUUAGACCCUUGAAACUAUGGUAUAGCAUUAGCUGUAGGAUAAGAAGAUAAUCGCCUAGGUGGUUUAUUAGAAAACCAAGGCUUAAACUCACCUUAGGAUGCCACGAACUGCCCUGUAGAUCUGGCCCUCUUGGAAUACCCUCUUUCUAAUUCUUGUACUCUUCUUCUUUGUCUCUGAUCCUCUAUUUUUUAUGCAAAAACUUGUAUCCUUGCUAUGUCCAUGUCUUUGUUCAAAGCAGCAAUAGUACAAUCUCUAACCAGAUAUGAAUCUAAUCUAUCCACAUAUUGAUGUACCCUAUCAUCCAUAGUAGUUACUACAUUAAGAGCAUACCUAGCCAAAGAGUUAAAUCGAAGGUUGUACUCCCUCACGCUCAUAUUCCCUUGGCAAAGAUUCAAGAACUGAUCCGCAUGGGCUUCUCGAAUCUCAAAUGGGAGGUAAUGAUCAAGAAAUGACUCUUUGAACUCUUUUCAAGUAGCUGAAGGUGCAUCAAUACCCCUAGAUCGUUUCCAGUCUUCAUACCAAAAUAUAGCCUCUCCUUUGAAUAUAUAUGCUUCUAGCUCAACUAUCUCCUUACCCGAUACAUGCAUGACGUCUAAAGCCCUUUGGAUUUGAUCAAUAAAGUCCUGUGGGUCUUCAUUAAAAUCUGAUCUAGUGAAUAUGGGAGGAUCCAAUUUAAGAAAAUCAUGCAUCCGUAGGCUAGCUGCCCUAUCUGUACAACUAGCAACUGUGGUUGGAAUGGCUUGUCCUUGAGCUUGUCUAGAAAUUAUACAAGCCAACAAUUGCACCGCAUUCCUUAGAUCUUGGUCAGUAGCAUUAAUAGGUGGUUCUAAGGAUAUUGCUCUUCCCCUUCUUAGCUCUUCUAGAGCUAAUAGAGGAGUAGAAGAGGUUUGUGAUCCAAACUCAACUUGAGCCUCACUUUGAUUAGCUUAUCUAGGUAGUGACUUGCUGGUCCCUUCUCUGGCAGCCACGUCUACUCGCUUACCCGUAUUCUUACUCCUUCUUAUAACCGGCAUCUUUACUAUAAUGAGAAAAAACAAAUUUAAUGGUUAAAUAGGACUCCACCUACGACUUAGGCUCUAUUGCACGAUCUAAGAUGUGAAGGAAAGGAGACAACCCCUAAAUGUCCCAUAGCCUCUUGUAUAUAGGUGUGGUGCACCACACACCCAUAAGCAAGACUCUACGUAGACACAACUUUGUAGAUUCCCUAGGAUGACCUGCUCUGAUACCACUUUUGUCAUGCCUCAAAUCCUAUUGGGGCGAACAAGCACCCGGAGCCGUGAAGGCCCGAGAGAACCAAUCCAUAACCUUGUACUUCUCAUGCGUGUAACUAUGACAACUAAACGUUCUAACAAAUAUGAUAUAAUGCAUCGAUGAGAAUAACUACGUAUGCAAGCGCAAAAUUACAUAUACAAGACAUGGUCGUUGGGGCCAUACAUAUAAAAGACAAGACACUACCAUGUUUAACUUUACAUUAGUCUAUAAAGCCUCUAAAAGAUACAUAGACUUAGCUAGGGUCGGGAUAAACCCCUGCCUUACUCUUGACUAUUGCACAAUACCAAAAUAUGUGGAAUAGACUCGGAAAGUCCCGAAUCAACCUGGAGUUCACCAAUGGUCACUAAUAGCCUGUGCUCCUACUAGCGAGGUGUAUUAGCUGAAGCAUCUGUGCUUGCAGCAUGAAAUACAAGUCCCCCGUGAGGGACGUCAGUACAAAAAUAUGUACUGAAUAUGUAAGGUUGAAGGUAACAACACGUGAUACAAGAGCUCAAUAAAAAUCAAAUACAAGUGUAUAAGUAGUACUAUUAGACCACCUUUAUAAAUACUUGUGGAACUACGUACAUUACAUUCCUUCCUUCACUUUUACCUUUUUUUCUUCAAAAUCUCCGUAAGCCAUAUAAUGUAAAUGACCAGCUGAUCAGUGGUAAAUAGAUAAUCGGGAUCGGCCCAUGCUAGGAUUUUGCCUCUAAGCUUCCACACACAUAUAUAGUAUCUAGAUCAGCCCAUGCUAGGCUUAUGCCCCUGAGCUACCACUAAUUUUACAGAUCUCGUUACUUAGUUUAUUUAACCUUUGAGAUUGUUACUUUGGUGGUCAUAACAUUAUGGUACCUUGAAACAAUAAUCUACCAAUAAGAGACAUGUAAAUGGUCACUUAAUGCAAUAACAAUGAGGUAGGGAGCUUUGGCACACAAAUGAAGUAUUUAGGAGCUGAAAAUAACACAUGGGUCUUAUUUGAGUAAACGGAGAACUCCUAAAAUUUUUCAGUGAAAAUAGACGUGCGGGUUUAAUAAUAAGCAUGCAUUGAGGUGUUUUAACACGUUAGAGAGUGGGAACAAGUCAUUGGCUACAUGGGAUGUAAUACGUUGCUAUUAUGUAUCACUUGUUAUAGGAUAACCUUAGAAGCUUACUUGAUGGAACAAAUGUCCGAUUUCAUGCCAAAGAGUGCAAAAUAGAGUAUACCCUACAUACCAGGUUAUAUAACUCCAAGACUAACCCAACUUGACUUCCCGCCUUUUAGAUUACUUAUCUACAAUAGAAUAUAUGGUAAACUAGUAUUAGCAACUAGCCAACACAUUUGGGAUACUUAACUUCAUCAAAACAGUAACCGGGCAGUAAGCCCUUAAUCUGUCAAUCAAGGGUGUUAUUUUAACCCUUUUCUCCUUCAAUUACACCCACAUAUCAUAUAUGUUCUUAUAAGAUUCACCGAAACCACCCCAGCUUCAUUACACCCUCCAAACAAUACACAAAAUAAAUUGGGUAGUAAACAUAUGCAAUAAUUAGUUCGGUGGAGUACCGCUACACCUUUUUCUAUAUUUUAAUUCGAACUAGUCACACCUUUCUCCAAUAUCAACUUGGCAGCCCAUAACAUAUACAUACAAAACAGCCCCAAAUUUCUUUUAUUGUGGCAAUUAAUUAUUGAACUCAUCAUCUCUUGAGUCCUCAAUAACAACAUAUCCAUAAUUCUCUCUCAAUUUCAUAUAUAAGGAGAAUAAAAUGGAGCAGUCACCUUACCUCAAUUCUGCAACUUAUUCUUUUAAUUUGAACUCCUCAAGAACUUCAACUUUCACUUUCCUUCACACUUUAAACCAAAGAAGAAAAGAGAUCUCUUAAUAAUAAAGAAAAAAGUGAGCAAGUAGCUUGUUCUAUAUUGUGCCAUGAAUUAAUAAUUAAGCACUUAUAGCAUGUUUUCUUAAUCUUUUGUGAGAUAAUUAAGCUAAACCAUAAGUGUUUUCACUUACCUUGGCUUGCAAAGGUUGGGGUUUCUCCAAGAACCCUAAAAGGAAAUAUUGGACUGCUCUUAGUUGCUUUAAAGAAAGUAGAGAGAAUUUUGUGAAGUAUAACCUUUAUUUGUGACUUAAGAAUGAGGGAAAAUGACCAGCAACUUGUUCUAUAAAGGCCUUAUUUUUUACCAUCCACUUAGUUGCAUUUUGGACCUCAAAUUUGUUCAAAUUGGUCCAAAUAGGUGAUGCACCUACUUACUUAAUUCUUAGUUGGGCUCAAUUAAAUUGGGCCUUGGCAGAUUUGAGCAUUGGGCCUUUUCUCCAUUUUACUUUUUUUUUAUUUAAUUUGGGCCCAAAUAAGUAUACUAAUAAAGGCCCAAAUCUGAUCCAUAGACUUGGUCCAUUAACUUGGCUCAUAUAACCCAAGUAGGUGACUCACCUACUAGCUUAAUUAAGUCAAGCAAGCUGCUCAACAAAUUACUCCAUUUUCAGUUCUUAAUCCAUUAAAUCUAAUUUAAAACUUGUAUACACUUGGUCACUUCAAACUUUAGAUUCAAAUACUAGCUUACGAUAUCAAGUUUAAAUAGUUGUGUCGACGUUAACUUGGUCGCAUCACAUUAAAACUUACGGGCAGGAUCUAUAAUUCCAUCUACACCAUUAAUAGUCGCAUAACAAAUUUCACCUGUUACCUAUACCACAAGACUAUACCAAGUUCCAUAUAAUUAGAAUAAGAACAAGCAAAAUACGAGAUGUUACAGAAAUCAGCGAAAGUUUCAUUUGAUACCGUUUCAACUAAAUAUGAAAUCCACACCUGUAAUUCGAUUUUUCAUAUAAUCUACCUAAGAGUCUGAAAGUCUCGAGACAUGAAUUAAGGAUCCCCUAACCUAAAAAUCAAUGUUCCAAAGAUGAAAGUGGUGCUAAAAUUAUCAUUUGAGGUCAUUUACUAGGAGACUUGGUACUAGACCAAUUUCUUUACAACGAAAGCUCCAAACAAAAAAAUGAGUCUAAAACUCAAACGAACUAUCCAAUAACUGAACCAAAAAUUUCUACAAGUCUUAAAUGAGCUGUAGCAGCUGGAAAGAACUGAAAUGUUGGAAAUGCAUGUAAAUCGGGGAAAUGAUCUAGAGGAUCUUUACACCAGCCCACCACCCAUUUAACCCCAUCUUCUUCUUCACUUCAACAUAACACCAACAACACGCGACAACAUAAACAUUCAUCAGCUCAACAACAUCGACCUAUAUAAACACAAAAUUCCCAAAGGUCCUUUGCCGCCCAGAGUUCCCUCUCUUUAUACAUCUACAUAUGAUAAGCACAAUUUCUGCACUUCGAUCGUUCUAACAUCUGCGACAUUGCAGUAUCCAUGAUAUUUCCUUUUCUAAAAAUUGUCACAAUUUUGCAAAUUCGUUUAGAGAUUGUGCGAAAUCCAACGUGGAACAUUAUCCUCAAAACUGAUUUUGAAUUAUAAAAUUCAAAAACCCCAAUUAUCCCCAAUAUUGAUUUUUACCCUAAUCAUACGAAUUCGGAUGAUUCGAUACAGCAAAAGCUCAUCCAACAAGAUUCCAGAACUCCUAAAUCCCACAUUUAAAUUUCAUUCUCAAAGACCUAAAAUCAUUCCUAUAUAAACCCUUUUACUCCAUCGUUUGACGAGAAGGUUAAAGACAGUCAACAGUAGAGAACUCCAACUGAGAAAGGGAUUUCGCUAAGACUGAAGAUUCUAGUGUCAAGAAAUGUGAUAAGACUCACUUGAUCUCAAAUUUAUAGGCUAAGGAUUGAGCUUGUUUUUGGUGGUGGUACGAAAAAAAUUAGAAGAAGCUGGAAGGCCUGAUAUUGUUGCUCUGAAAUAGGUGAUACCCCUAUUCCUCUUGUGUUCUAUCUCAAUUUAUCUUCUUGCAUCAUGAUGCUUCUUGUUGUAGCUUUCUUUUUAGUACUAUCUAUGUUCUGAUUGUGAUUUUUCAUUCAUCCGCAGUAGUAGCGCCAAAUUUCACACAUGAGCAUGGGAAUGGACUUAAUACUGUUGGCUCUUUUCGUUUAAAUUAUUUCAGCCUGUGUACUAUUUCAAGGGGUUUAAUUCUAAAGUUUCUUCCUUUGCUAUUUGUGAUUCGUUCAUGUCUUUGCGUUAGUUAGGUUAGUUUGAGCAUUAACAUGAGUUUCAAUCAUGUUUGUCUAAGCUUUACUACUAUUUCUUUUUUCCUCUUAUUAGAAAUAUGUAAGAAUUACCUUUCUGUUGAACGCGUUUGUUUAUAUAACUUUGUUCGUUCUUGUCAUUUUUAGCGAAUGGUAUCGCAAAACUCGUCCUACCACUUGGGCAAUUGCUCACUAUUGUUUUGAUUUACGAGUUAAGACAACUUAAAGUUGUUCGAUUUGAAUGGUUAGAGUUUGUCUCUCUUUGAGCUUGUAUUGCUAAUGCGUCGAUUCAAUAGGUCGAAAAUUUGUUUUUAAGGCUAUCUGUUAAAGAGCAGUGACCCCUUUUUUUUAUUCUUUUUCACAUAUUGAAGGCCAUCUCCUUGUAUGAUCUUUGCUUAUGACUCUUUAUUUUGUUUCAAUCAUUUUCCUUUGUCAACAAAUAAAUCUUUAAUUUUUAGGCGAUUGAAUUCAUCCCUAUCUCUCAGUCUUUCCCCUUUUCUUUUUCCCUUAGAAGCCUCCACUGAAUCAUGAAACACUAUGACCAAGUGUAAGUGAAUCCAUGAAAGAGCCUAGAAUUCUCAUCUUUAAGCUUUUUUGAAAAUCUGAAAAUCACUACGCUAUGAGUGUGAGUUCAAUAAGGCCUUUAAGUUAUUUGUUCGUCCUCUCUUUUUAGUUAUUCUUCUUCGAUGGACUUUGUGUGGUAUUAACUACGAAAUUUGCUUAAUGAUUUCUGAUUUUAACUGUAUUCGUUGGUUCGAGUUAUAAAUGGUUACAUUGUAUUAUUCUUAUAAUAGAUUAAAGGUCCUUGAGGGACCGAUUUGAUUUGUACAUAUUGUAACUUUUCAAGAGAUGAUGAAAUAAGUAAGUUUUAAAUUAUUAUAUGGCAAUUCUUCUUGGAUAUGUUUUUGAUUGAAAGAAGUUGGAUUUAGCUUUUUGAUCAAUCAUUGAUUAUUUUUAUGGAAUGAAAGUUACUUAUUUUGCUCUUUAUGUAUUAAUUAGGUUCUAAUCUUUAUAUCUUUUUCUUUGCAUGUGAAACUUUUCCGCAUUCAAAUGGACUUUCUUCACCUCGCAUUUCUCCAAUGGGUCAACAAGGCUCGUUUUUCUUUUAGUUUGAGUCUCCCGACCAAAUGGACUGGAUAGCGUGAAAUGAGCCAAGACCCAUGAAAUUUAAGUUCAUGACUAGUCUUGAUAGGUCAAGCAGAGGCCCAAGUUUCAUCUUUCCUCUCUUUAAUUACUAGUAAUACAUAUUUGUUUAUUUGUAUUAACUCUAAUAUUUUUCUUAACUUAGUUUGAAUUUUCCUUUUGAAUUGGCAAUGUUUUGCAAAUAAAUUCUUUUAUAGAUUUAACAUGAUUGAUUUUAUUAUUCGAUUCAAAGCUAUUAACCGAUGUUUGUUUUCCCAAAAUAAUGGUAUAAGUUCAAAUUGGAAUAAAAAAGAAAAAUUACCUUCAUUGACAAAUCUCAAACUUCUCUGAAUUAAGGCAUCUUUUUUCUCAAAAUCCCUUUUUCAUAAGUUAGUCAAUUAAGUUAAUUUCAAAUAAGAUCGAACAAUCGCAAGUUAUCGGAUAAUCUUGGUGCUAUAACAACUUUUCAAGAGUAUUAAUUGUAACCACUUACCCAAUUUUUUAACUCUUGAAAGAUAUUUUCUAUUUUUAACUUUUAAGUAUAUUAUUAAAGAUUUUCUUAAUUUUCCUUGAUCAAAUUAAGUGGCAAAUCGGUUUCUUUCAAUAUUAAAUUUGAACUUUUUUAUAAGUGUUCGAAUUAGUAAAAUCGCAAAAGUUCGUCUUCUCUGCAAAUCAGACACAAUCACAUUGUAUCUUGAGAUACUCUAUAACACUUGUCUUUAACUUAGUCCAAAGACUUUCAAGCAAUCAUUGACACUAUCAAAUUGUGUCUUGAUUUAUGAGAUAUUCUAUAAAUCUUUAGAGGCAAGACUUACACAAAGACUUUCAAACAACAAUUUACGUAUCAUGGCAAAAGUUAAUGCUACCACAUUGUAUCUUGAUUUAUGAGAUGUUUAAAAAAAAAUAAAAAUAAAAUAAAGGUUGAGACGAAUAAAUUAAAACAAAAAAAUAAAAAAUAAAAUCAGGAAACAG
rnacentral:lncRNA from 1 species